UACCUCUUUAACCCAGUCCUGCGAGGCUGACAAGAGGGUAAAUCCUUACAUGGAGUCUGACGGCUAAAGUCAACUUUGUUAGGUGAAACCUCUUUGUCAUACGCAAAGAGGUUUUUUGUUU
rfam:Bacillus pseudofirmus OF4, complete genome.